rnacentral:rRNA from 1 species
GACGAACGCUGGCGGCGUGCCUAAUACAUGCAAGUCGAGCGAAGUUUUUCUGGUGCUUGCACCGGAAAAACUUAGCGGCGAACGGGUGAGUAACACGUAAAGAACCUGCCUCAUAGACUGGGACAACUAUUGGAAACGAUAGCUAAUACCGGAUAACAGCAUUAACUGCAUGGUUGAUGUUUAAAAGUUGGUUUUGCUAACACUAUGAGGUGGCUUUGCGGUGCAUUAGCUAGUUGGUGGGGUAAAGGCCUACCAAGGCGACGAUGCAUAGCCGACCUGAGAGGGUGAUCGGCCACACUGGGACUGAGACACGGCCCAGACUCCUACGGGAGGCAGCAGUAGGGAAUCUUCCGCAAUAGGCGAAAGCCUGACGGAGCAACGCCGCGUGAGUGAAGAAGGAUUUCGGUUCGUAAAGCUCUGUUGUUAGGGAAGAAUGAUUGUGUAGUAACUAUACACAGUAGAGACGGUACCUAACCAGAAAGCCACGGCUAACUACGUG